UACGGAGGGUGCGAGCGUUGUCCGGAAUCACUGGGCGUAAAGGGCGUGUAGGCGGGGACGGUAAGUCGGGCGUGAAAUCCCCUAGGCUCAACCUAGGAACUGCACUCGAAACUACCAUUCUUGAGUGUCGGAGAGGAAAGCGGAAUUCCUGGUGUAGAGGUGAAAUUCGUAGAUAUCAGGAGGAACACCAGUGGCGAAGGCGGCUUUCUGGACGAUAACUGACGCUGAGACGCGAAAGCGUGGGGAGCAAACAGG
rnacentral:rRNA from 1 species